UUUCUAUAUUCGCUGAAACCUUUUGGUACGGGGAAACCAGUUAUGUGGAUUCUAAAGAAUCCGGGGGUGAAUCCUUUUUAGGUAGGGCUACUCAAAGGUCCGAAUCCGACAGCUAACCUCGUAAGCGUUCAAUUGAGAAGGA
rnacentral:sRNA from 2 species